rnacentral:misc_RNA from 1 species
GAAAUGCGAUAAGUAAUGUGAAUUGCAGAAUUCAGUGAAUCAUCGAAUCUUUGAACGCACCUUGCGCUCCUUGGUAUUCCGAGGAGCAUGCCUGUUUGAGUGUCAUUAAAUUCUCAACCUUUGUAAUUUUUUACAAAUGGCUUGGAUGUGGGAGUUUUGCUGGUUUACUUUAUUGAAACGAGCUCUCCUGAAAUGCAUUAGCUGGUUGCCUUGUGUGAACCUGUCUAUUGGUGUGAUAAUUAUCUACGCCGUGGAUGGUUUGCCGCCUUGUAGCAAUGCUUCUAAUCGUCUGUUCAUUCGGACAAUUUUAUGACAAUUUGACCUCAAAUCAGGUAGGACUACCCGCUGAACUUAA